AGCGGCGGACGGGUGAGUAACGCGUGGGUAACCUGCCUCAUACAGGGGGAUAACAGUUAGAAAUGACUGCUAAUACCGCAUAAGACCACAGCACCGCAUGGUACAGUGGUAAAAACUCCGGUGGUAUGAGAUGGACCCGCGUCUGAUUAGGUAGUUGGUGAGGUAACGGCCCACCAAGCCGACGAUCAGUAGCCGACCUGAGAGGGUGACCGGCCACAUUGGGACUGAGACACGGCCCAGACUCCUACGGGAGGCAGCAUG
rnacentral:rRNA from 1 species